rnacentral:rRNA from 1 species
GACGAGCCUCACAAACGUUAUUCGGAAUUACUGGGCUUAAAGGGUGCGUAGGCGGCGUAGAAAGUUGGGUGUGAAAUCCCUCAGCUUAACUGAGGAAGGGCGCCCCAAAAACUACUAUGCUCGAGGGAGAUAGAGGAGUGCGGAACUUAGGGUGGAGCGGUGAAAAUGCGUUGAUAUCCUAGGGAACACCGGUGGCGAAGGCGGUUCUCUGGGCCUUACCUGACGCUGAGGAGCGAAAGCGUGGGGAGCAAACAGG